GCGCUCGGCUGUCGGCUUCGUUGCGCUGGUUCCGCUUCCUUGCGGCGACCCGUCCGGUGUCUGGACCGGGGAGGAGCAGACGCUGGACAGGGAUGUGUUUCCAGCAGGGGACUGUGAGGCCUGGGGGUCUGGCCGCGUCCCAGUGGGGUGCACCCUGAGCCCGCUGAUCCGACCGUAAUCCCUUCUGCUGGAGCUGGGGUGCUGUCCGAAUGGGCUCGGCCACCUUGCUCCUGCCCCUCUGCCCUGGGUUUGGUGUGUACGUGACAGCGGGGUGUACGUGUGUUUAAUAUCUGACACACCUUCGGGUCCUUUGCUGAGAAACGGGCUGAGGGCCCGCACAGGCUGAAGCUUUCGGCUGGAUGGUGAUGGAGGGCUUGCUGAAGACUGUGUGACUAUCGAAGUUCUCAACUCCAAAGAUACUACUUCAGACUCUCUGAUGACUGUUAUGAGUGGGGUGGCAGAAUGAAAAAGAUAUACAAUGAAAAAGGAGAAAAAUUCAACCCAGAAUCUCUUGCUAGAGUUUCGGAGAGAGUGCUCGUAAUUCCCAGGAAGAGGCAUGGAGGACUUGGGUGAGGCUGCUACACCCAAACAGUGGUGUAUGUGGUGAUGGAGGAUUGGACCCACAAACUCCAGAACAGAGCUUUGUAAAAUGUGUGUGGGCAGCUCUGAGGCCUUGGACAAGGCAUCAGUUUCCUCAUUUGUAAAAAGUGAUUAAUGGAAGGCAUCUGGUACAUGGUGAGUGCUUUAUAAGUAGGAGUUAUUUUCCUAACAUCCCCUUUUUUACUUGAGGCUCCAAAAAAGUUAAAACAUCUUACCUGCCACACUCUUUCUAUUAAUAUCAGAUGCCUUUCCCAAGGGAGGGAGAGGGGGCAAGUCAGACUUCCUGGGAGGAGAGAAGGAAAUGGGCUGACGAUUAGACUGCACAGUACAGCCCAUGGGAUCGCUCAGCUGCAGAGCUGGGGCCUGCAUCUGCAGGGUCCAUGGCCUUGCCACCCAUUCUGACAGGAUUGGGAGCUGCUCCGGACUUCCUUUCAAUUUCCCCUUAAGAAGUGUUGUGUCUUAAGGAGCUACAAGGGGAUGAUCCAUAUUGGAGGGGCUCCCAUAGUCUGUCCCUAGUCUGUGUGGCUUUCUGCCCUCAGCCCCUGUGAUUUCCCAAGGCCCUGGAACCUAGGGUUUCCUCUCUCUACCCUGUCCUCCACUGAUUGUCAGAGUUCAGUUCCAGGAGGGGGCAGGCAUCUUGUGUCUUGUGAGCAAGUGGAGGCUUGGGGUAUGACUAAACAUAUUGGUUAUACUUUUUGUUUUCAUAAAACAAAGGAUAGAAAGAAAACUCCAUAAAAUUUUGGCUAGGGGGUGACAUGCAGAAAAUAAUAAGAAAACAAUUAACUGAUAAUUAAAUGAUUUUAUUGAAUGCUUAUUCUGUACCAGGUACUGAUUUGGACCCUUUCUAUACGUUAAUGUGCAAGUGCUUCAAGGUAGGUGCCAUUAUUAUCCCCAAAUUUCAAAUGAGGAAACUGAAGCACAGACGCAGCUCACCUAUGGCCAUUCAGAGCCAGGAUUUAAAGCAGGCAGACAGACUCCAGAGCCAGUGUUCUAGUGAGAGACCAUUGUAGGAGGCAUAUAUUUUUUAAAAACUUGUGAAACCCUGUAGUGUUUACAGUGACAAGACUUCAAAUUCCUACUUCUUCCCCAAACAAAUUUAAAGCCCACAAGGGGCUUUAAAUAUUGCUUUUUGGGGAAAGAAAGAAACUAGAAUAUUCAGAAAACACAAAAUUGUUUAUAGAAUAAAAUAAAUAGCAUGUAACCCCUAUUACUGAGAGAAAAGCUCAAAGAAGAGCUGAAAUUUAAUAUGCUCAGCAGUUUUCUUUCAAUAGGCAAAUAAUCAAAAUGGGAAAGUAAAUUAUGAGCAGUAGGUUGCUUGAUGGGCAUGGAGUCAGAGGGAGUGAAUGGAUCAUUAAUUUGUUCACAACACUUUGGGCCUGUUGCCUGUGAGGCACACUGUGUUGGGUGCUAAGGAUGUAGUGGAGAAUGAGGUGACACACUGCAAUUUAGCGGCUCAUGUAUGUGUGUGGUGGAAUUAACCUAGGGUGGCUGCAGUCACACUGUGGACCUAGAGUACUCGUGAUUUGGUGGCUGAAGGUCCUUGUGUCCCUGACUGCAGGGAUGGGCACUGCUGCCCUUUGCCUCUCUGGCUUCUUUUUUUGUGUUCUUUGAAGUUGGAAAAUUUCUCCAUUUGUGAUUAAAGAAGUUGACGCUACAGGCCUCUAAGCUUCCCUUCAGCCCUUCAUGACAUGUGCUGGUUUUUUGGUCACAGGGAUCUCAAUCUCUGAGCACAGGCUCAGGCAUAUCCUGAACCCAGUGAAUGGUCAGACCUUGCCCCAAGUUUACAUUCAUUCUACUCUCUGAGGUUACGAAGCGUCAUUACUUAAUGCCUGUGCAGUCCUUCAGAUACUAUGACAGCCAAGGUCAGAGGCACAUUUUGUUGGAAGAGGCUAUUUCUAUCUAGUAGGUCUGUGAUACAUAAUGAUAAACAGGAUUCCUUUAUUACACUUCCCUUCUAGCUCUGUCAUCUAGGAACUCUGCCGUUUCCCCAAAAGGUAUAUUGAGGAGGAGAAUAUGGCCUUGGUUAUCCACUCAACCAAGUCCCAGGUGAGUUGGGAAUUUUCCUCUUCCCUCUGAAAUCCCAUUUUAAUUCCUAAAGCAAAGAAAUUUCUUUCUCUUAGCAUGAAGCUUGUCAGCCUGUUAGCAUCAGCAGUUUUAAAAGAUAGGAUCAAGUGGAUCCGAUGGACUGCCAACAAAAUGGUGACUGGGUGUUGCUUAGUUGUGUAGAAGUAGCAGUGAAGAUCGGGGCCUUGGCAGUCUCUCCCAUCAGUUGGUAGGAGAGGGCAUGGGGAAUAUGGGGCCUCUUAGCACAUAGUUGAAGAGAAGGACUGAUAGAGGUGGUUGGGUGAGAAUCAAGCUUCCAUUUGUUUACUUGAGACAUCUGGCUCAGAUAAGCAAAGGCACAUGAGACAGCUCUGCACCUGUUUGCUUAUAAUUUUCUCCGUGGGGAGGAAAGACAUGUAGACAAAUCUGUGUGGUGCAAUACCAGCAGAUUUAAGGAGGGCCUACUCAACAAUAAAGUGCUUUGGGGAAAAUGUUGUGUGAAUUCAGAGUGAGCAGGCGGGUCUGGGUCAGAGAGAGGGAAGGCUUUAUUCCUUCAACCAGCAUUGCUAGGUCGGCCGACAACCUCCCCACCCCUGCUAAUGGUAGCAGUGAGCUUUGAAGUAGGCCCUGAAGGAUGAGCAGAUUUUUGAGGAGAAAGAUUUGAAAAGAGAGUGACAUAAAUGGCUUAGAAUGGAGAAGAGAUACUACUCUGAGGCAAGAAAAAAGAAAGUACAUUGAAAACAUGGGUUUAUUGUCCUACAGAAACUUAAGAGGCUGCCAAUCUGUUUGCAGUAUACUAAUAAUCACACCCAAAGUUCUUUCCUAAAUAUAAUUCUCAAACUUGGUAUAUUUCUCAGUUUCUUACUUACCAUGCACGUCUCUUUCUUAAUAUAAUGAAGAUAAGCUUAAGGCCAGCUGAACACUAGGCUUGGACGGGAAGGCCAUAUCUUUAAUGUGAUCUGUUUUUUAAGUCAUUUUGUUCAGCUGAGAAGUUUUAAUGGGCCUUUGUUGCUCAAAUUUCUUUUCAAACUUACUUCCUACUGUAUGAGAUGUAGAAACAGUUUGCUUUUGCAGACAUAUGAAGCCCCAGAUUUCUGGACUCUGUAUUCCAUUUUGUUUUAGCUUGAAAAUUGGCCAGUCCUUUACUGAGCUCAGCUCUUCUUCUUUGCCAGAUAUAUCCUGCAGCAUCCCAUACCAUCUAGCAUUCUGCCUCUUUCCAACCUCCUCCGUGGGAGCCACAGCCGCAGUUAGCUUUUGGUCUGCCUUCACAGUUAUUAAAUUAUUUUGCCAGUAUAUAUCAAGAGCCUACAACAUUCUAGCUUAAAUAUCCAUCUCCUUGAAACCUUCCACCUGCUUGUCAAGCCAAUGCCACCAUUAUCUUUUAGAUUUUUGUUAUGCUACCCUCCACUUUAAGAGGCUGAUUUCUGAAUUAGGAUUGGCUAGUGUAUAAUUAGUAUAACCAGUAGACCCCAAAUAUACAUAGGCCCUAAUAUAAUAGAAGUUUAUUUCUUGUUCUUGUAACCAUAUGAUUGGGUGGCCAUUCAGAGCCUUGCUAUGUGAAGCUCUAGUAUCUUUACCACAUGGGUCCCAAACUCACUUUGGGUCAUCUCUACACCAGCCAGCCAGAAGGGGACAGCAUCAUGGAGGAAUGUGUGUUGAAUCAGGCCUGGAAGUGGUGUACCUUUCUUCUGCUUGCAUUCUGUUAGCUAUAAUUCAGUCAAAUGGUCACAUCUAACUACAGAGGAGGCUGGGAAAUGUUUGUCUACCUUGAAAGGUAAGGAGGAAGUGUAUUUUAGUGAGCAAUUAGCAGUUUCUGCCACUCUCCUCAUAUAUUUAGAUUAUUUAGUCUUAUUUUGCUAUUGUAAGUUAUAAUGUUUAUUUCUAACUUUUUUCAUAUUGUGAUCAUUUUCUUAUAAUUAUUUUUAGAUAUGAAAUUGCCAUGUCAAAAGAAUGUACAUAUUUUAAGACUCUUCAGCAUACAAGUGAAUAAAAUCUUGCCUUUGAAACCUGUGCGUGCUUGGAUCCAUUUCCUCCCCAUCCCAUCAACCGCCCCUAAUUAUGUCUCAUUUAACCUUUUCUUCAGAACCACAUGCAGAAGGUUCAGGGCUUUGUGUCAUUCAAGGAUGUGGCUGUGAACUUCACUGAGGAAGAAUGGAGUGAACUGGAUCCCUCUCAGAGAGUCUUGUACAGGGACGUGAUGCUAGAGAACUAUAGGCACCUGGUUUCCUUGGGAUUUCCAUUUCCUAAGCCUGAUGUCAUCUCCCAACUGGAACUAGCUGUAAACCCAUGGAUGCAGAAGGGAGAUGUGCUAAGAAGCAGCUUUACACACUUGGAGACCAGAAAGUUGACACCAAAGAUGGGAUUUUCUGAAAAAAAAUUAUACUGAGGGAUAAAUAUGGAGAGAAGCACAGAGUCUGAUGCAAGGAUCUCUAGUUUGAAAGAUACCUGGUGAUUUACAAAGAUCAAAGAGGAUGCACAAGAUAGACUUUAGAAAGAAGCAACAGUUAUCUGCAAGAAAAGAACUCCCAUUGCAGAUAGUAACUCCAAAUGUAUUGAAUUAGGAAAGUUAGUUUGAAGUAUGACUUUGUUAUAAAACCAAUACAUCCUAAAGAAGAAAUACAUUAUACAUAUGAUGCUCCAGGAAAGAGCUCCAAGCAGACUUCAAAAUUAUUCAGACAUAAGAAAGAUAGCACAACUGAGAAAGUUCUUCAGUGUAAUGCAUGUAAUAAAAUCUUCAAUCAUCACUCAGUUCAUAUUCAACAUUGUGUAGGGCAUAAUGGAGAGAAAAAUUUGGAAUGUAAUCAAUACAGAAGGCCUUUGGUCAUGGUAUACACCACAUUGAACAUCAGGGAACUAAUACUGGAGGGAAGUCUUAUGAAAAUAGGAAAGGCUUUAACUGGUACCCAUACCUUACCAAACAUCAGAGUGUUCACAGUGGGAAGGAAUAUAUGCAUGAAAGAGGCAUAAUUCAGAAUACACCAUUUAUUCAACAUCAGAGAAUCCAUAAUGGAGAGAAACUUGAAUGUAGUGAAUGUAGAAAAACUUUUAGUAAUUAUUCAGCCCUUACCGUACAUCAGAGAAUUCAUACUGGAGAGAAACCAUAUGAAUGCAAUGACUGUGGGAAAGCCUUUAAUCACAGCUCAUCUCUUUCUCAACGCCAGAGAAUACAACUGGAGAAAAACCCCAUGAAUGUAAUGGAUGCAGGAAGGCUUUUAUUCAGAUAACACACUUUAUUCAACAUCAGCGUAUUCACACUGGAGACAAACCUUAUGAAUGUAAUGAAUGUGGGAAAGCCUUCACUCACAGUACAUCCCAUAUUGAACAUUAGUUUGUUCACACUGGAGAGAAGCCCUAUGAAUGUAAUUAAUAUGGGAAAGCCUUCAGUCACAAUGCAUCCCUUAUUGUCCAUCAGUUUGUUCACACUGGAGAGAAACCCUAUGAAUGUAAUGAAUGUAGAAAGGUUUUCAGCCACAGCUCACACCUCUACCAACAUCAGAGAACUCACACUGGAGAGAAACCAUAUACCUGUAAUGACUGUGAGAAAGCAUUUAGUGAUCAAUCAGCCCUGAUUUGACAUCAGAGAAUUCACACUGGAGAGAAACCCUACAAAUGUAAAGAAUGUGGUAAAGCUUUCAGUCAGAGCUCAACUCUCAUAUAACAUACAAAAACCCACAAUGGAGAGAAAUGUUACACUUCUAAGGGUUGUGGGAAAGCCUUCAGCCAGAGUUCAUCCUGUACUCAACAUCAGAGGGUUCAUACUGGAGAGAAACCAUUUGAAUGUCUUGAAUGUGGAAAAGUCUUCAGUAGAAGUGCCCACCUAACUCAACAUAGGAGAAUUCACACUGGAGAGAAACCUUGUGUAUGUAAUGAAUGUGGCAGAGCUCUCAGGUGUAGUUCAGCCCUCAUUUGGCAUCAGAGACAUCACAGUGCAGAAUUGCUCUGAAUGUUCAGACUGUUUACCUUAUUAAAUACCAAAGGAUUAUACUUUCACAGGUUAUUACAAUUGUGAUCCUUUAUUUUGAAGGCUGAAAAUGUACCCCCCCCCCCGAUUUUUUCCUGCAAAGAAGUUUCAUCUGCCAAAAUACCACAAAUCCAAGUGAAAAAAUACUUACCUGAAAUCUGGAAUAACGCAAGAAAUUCUAAACACCAAUCUUCAUGUGUAUGUGCAUGUUUUUUUUUUUUUUUACCUGUACCUGAAAAUGACUAAUGUUAGUCACCAUGAUGUAAUUUUUUUCCUGGCCCCAGGAAUAGGCUAUUUCAACAUGUCAAGGAAUUUCAGUUGUUUGAAUUGAGCUUGUCAUUUCUUGUACUGAUUGGAAUAGUGCCAUGUACAAACUAAAUAGAGAAACUCUUGGUUGAUUAUAUAUCCUAAUCCACUUUCCUUUAAAUCUCUGCCCUAACAUAUAGUCAUUCCUAUCCCCAGGACACACCCUCCUGUGGACAGCUAUUGUCUGCUUUACCUUGCCCUAUUUUUUUUGCACCCCACAGAGGCAAGAUGGACUGCUUCUCAAUUAAUAGGCCAGUUAUUGAGACUGUUGACAAUUUAGAUACCAAGAGAAUUUGAGAGAAAGUAUUACACAUACAAGGGACUUCUGAGGAGAGCAGGGUAGGUUCAUGCCAGUCCAGAAUGGCAAGAGCAUAGAGGAGGUUGGGCCUUUUUAGUGGCUAGGGGUAGGGUUAGGAAAGUGUUCCCAUGCAUGAAGUUUUGGGGAUUCAAGUGGGAUUCAUGAUCCAGUGCUAAGAGCUCAGGAGGAACGCAUAAGUUUCCUUACCUAAAGUGCCUGGUGUGUGUGGGGGGGUGGAAGACUGGAAGCUCAAAUGCUGCCAAUGGCCAGACAUAAAAAAUGGAGUCAGACUCUUUAUUAUACCCACUUUCUCAGAAAAUCUUUGUUCACUUAGCUCAAAAUAGCUCUUCAAUAUUACUGUAUCUUUUGUUGAAUCUAUUUUGGUUUUACCAUCUCCCCUCUCAAAGUCAUCUUUCCCCAGGGCAGAAAUUAUAACUAUCACUUCUCAGAAAAUAAACAUUAUUUACCUUGGGAACCAGUAGCCUUACAAAAUAAUUACCAUCUCAUACAAUCCUGACAGAGGAGUUGGGGAAUGAUCCAACACUUUUAGAAAAUACUUUAGGAAAAGAAAGCCUAUGAAUUUGUAUCAAACUAUCACAGAUUAAAUUACUUGGGGUUGUCUGAUGAAAAUUACUGUAUAUGGUCCUAAGAAGCUGUACGUGUACUUAAUGAGCCAGGCAUUAAUUGUUGGUCACACUGUGAGUCUAUACAUAUAUGCAGUGUUCUUUUAGGUCAUCCUAAGCUUAAAUUCAUUAGGGUCUUUUAGGUUCCAUGAAUUAUUUUGUCUUCCUUUUUUUCUCUGUCUUAUGCAUUUUUCAGUUAGCUAUGAGAAUUAUUGUGUAGGAUUAGAAAGAAGUCUCUUGACUUUCCCGUAUCAUUCCUGAUGUACUAGUCAGAACUUGAGAUUUCUCUGCUUUAUAUUUUUCUCACUAAAAAGACUCUCCUUUCUCACCAACUUUCCUAUUCUCUUCUAUUUUAAACACUUCCAUGGUGUUAGCUACAGAUGGAAGUUCAACAGGAUUUGAGUUUCAGAGCUGAAAAGUACAACUAAAGGUUGAGAAGGAAGAAUUUUUUUUCUGCAAAUUAUCUGUAAGACAAAAUAUUCUGAAGGAAUGGUUACAUCUAGAAAAAAGAUCUGAACCCCCUUGGUAACUUUUUGAAAUUGAAAUGGUGGGAGAAAAAGUCAACUAUAGCUAUGUCUGUCAUUAGAAUCAGUGCUCUUAAACUGUUCUUUGUUAAGAGCUUAGGUAACAAGGCCCUUAACGAAAACAUUUCUUCCCUGGAGCCAGUUAGCUCUGUUGUGGAGAAACAUAUGCCCUUCCUUCAGAGGCUUCAUUCUGUGAUGACUGUUUAGAGUUAAGACUCAGGACAAGUGCCUGAAUAAAAGGCCUGUUGUAGAAUGUGUGAAUUGCACUGUAAUGAAUUGGUUUAAUUCUGGUGUAAUCUAGUUUGGAUCCUGAAAUACUAAAAUUUCUAGAACAUAAUAUUUGAAAUCUUAAGUUCCAGUUCCAGAAGUCUUGGCUGUUGGAUUUCAAGGUUUUAGUCAAUACUUUUUUUUUUUAUAUUUUGAUCAGCUUUUGGUAGGUAAUCUGGAUUCUUCAGUUUUUCAAUCAUGCAAGUCAAAAUUUCUACUUUCUGUGGUUAAAACUGCUUAUGUUUGAUGUGUUCAGUGAAGAUUGAUUUACAUAUUUUAUGUUAAAUCCUCCAAGGAGCUUGGAUAGUUUUCAUCAUCUUAUGAGGUCACUGUAUGGUGCUUUGCACAUGGUUUAAAAAAUUCAUAUAAAAUAGAGUUACUCAGUGAAAGUCAUUCCUCUAGUGCCUUUGGAUACAUGUCAUAGAUGAUUUCUGGAUGUUUUUCCAAGAAUCAUGAAUACAAAAUAUAGUGACUUGAGAUAAACAUCUUGGGGAAAUCAUAUCAUACUUAUAUUUUACUUCAUAAGAAUUCAGCCAUAUUCACCAAGAUCCCUCCAAAUCCCCACAGGUACAUAAAUCAGUGAAAUUAAAAAUAUUUGAAGAUUAUAUUUUGCAUAUAACAUUUCUAUUAUUUACUUAUAAAUUUAUACAAACAAGCACAUAUUAGCAUUGUUAUUAGGGUUAUAUACAAAACAAUAUAUAUGCAUUUUAUGGGCAACUUAAGAGAUUUAUAAGGGCAUUAUUGUUAAUACUCAAUUUCAUCUUAUGUGCUGACUUCAGAAGCUGACUUUGUAUAAGAUUUUGCCUCCAAAGAAUCCAGAGGCACAGCCAAUACACUUGUGUAAUAGUUUAUUUUUCUGGGUGAAUGUUUUUGCUUGGUUUUCCAAGGUUGAUGAUAUCAGAAGAUAUGCCACUUCAUCCUGGUAGGAAAGUUGCUGUCAUACAGCAAUGUGGAUAAUUGAGAAACACUUUUGGUUAACCAAGGUAAAAAUACAUUUCCCAAAGUAAACCUGGCCUUGGGUAUCUGGAUAAUUGCCUCAGUUUAUAACAGACCUACUUUAA